UGGGGGAUAUUGCACAAUGGGCGAAAGCCUGAUGCAGCGACGCCGCGUGGGGGAUGACGGCCUUCGGGUUGUAAACUUCUUUUGCUCUGAACAAGGCAUGCCUUUGGGGUGUGUUGAGUGUAGGGGUUGAUUAGCGCCGGCUAACUACGUGCCAGCAGCCGCGGUAAUACGUAGGGCGCGAGCGUUGUCCGGAAUUAUUGGGCGUAAAGGGCUUGUAGGUGGCUGGUUGCGUCUGUCGUGAAAGCUCAUGGCUUAACUGUGGGUUUGCGGUGGGUACGAGCUGGCUUGAGUGCAGUAGGGGUGGCUGGAAUUCCUGGUGUAGCGGUAGAAUGCGCAGAUAUCAGGAGGAAUACCGGUGGCGAAGGCGGGUCUCUGGGCUGUUACUGACGCUGAGGAGCGAAAGCGUGGGGAGCGAACAGG
rnacentral:rRNA from 1 species